rnacentral:rRNA from 1 species
AGGGCACCACCAGGAGUGGAGCCUGCGGCUUAAUUUGACUCAACACGGGAAAACUUACCUGGUCCUGACACUAGGAGGAUUGACAGAUUGAUAGCUCCUUCUUGAUUUGGUGGAUGGUGGUGCAUGGCCGUUCUUAGUUGGUGGAGUGAUUUGUCUGGUUAAUUCCGAUAACGAACGAGACUCUAGCCUAUUAAAUAACACGCAGAAUCUUGUCUUCUGCGGUGUUUCUUAAUGGGAUCAAGUGUGUUUAACGCUUUGAAACAGAGCAAUAACAGGUCUGUGAUGCCCUUAGAUGUUCGGGGCUGCACGCGCGCUACAUUGAAAGACAAAAUGAGCCUUCUAGUUUUUAAUAAAGCUAGUAAUCUUUGAAUGUUUUUCUUAAUGGGGAUAGGGGAUUGCAAUUGUGCCCCUUGAACGAGGAAUCCCCAGUAAGUGCUAAUCAUUAGUUAGUACUGAUUACGUCCCUGCCCUUUGUACACACCGCCCGUCGCUACUACCGAUUGAAUGGUUUAGUGAGAU